rnacentral:rRNA from 1 species
UACGUAGGGGGCAAGCGUUGUCCGGAUUUAUUGGGCGUAAAGAGCGUGUAGGCGGCCAGGUAGGUCCGUUGUGAAAACUCGAGGCUCAACCUCGAGACGCCGAUGGAAACCAUCUGGCUAGAGUCCGGAAGAGGAGAGUGGAAUUCCCGGUGUAGCGGUGAAAUGCGUAGAGAUGUGGAGGAACACCAGUGGCGAAGGCGGCUUUCUGGUCUGUAACUGACGCUGAGGCGCGAAAGCGUGGGGAGCAAACAGG